UACGGAGGGUGCAAGCGUUACUCGGAAUUACUGGGCGUAAAGGGCGCGUAGGCGGUUCGGUAAGUCAGAUGUGAAAGCCCGGGGCUUAACUCCGGAAGUGCAUUUGAAACUGCUGAACUUGAGUAUGGGAGAGGGAAGUGGAAUUCCUGGUGUAGAGGUGAAAUUCGUAGAUAUCAGGAGGAACACCGGUGGCGAAGGCGACUUCCUGGACCAAUACUGACGCUGAGGCGCGAAGGCGUGGGUAGCAAACAGG
rnacentral:rRNA from 1 species